rnacentral:rRNA from 1 species
GGGUGGUAAUGCCGGAUGUUCCAGUUGAUCGCAUGGUCUUCUGGGAAAGCUUUCGCGGUAUGGGAUGGGGUCGCGUCCUAUCAGCUUGACGGCGGGGUAACGGCCCACCGUGGCUUCGACGGGUAGCCGGCCUGAGAGGGCGACCGGCCACAUUGGGACUGAGAUACGGCCCAGACUCCUACGGGAGGCAGCAGUGGGGAAUAUUGCACAAUGGGCGCAAGCCUGAUGCAGCGACGCCGCGUGAGGGAUGGAGGCCUUCGGGUUGUAAACCUCUUUUAUCGGGGAGCAAGCGUGAGUGAGUUUACCCGUUGAAUAAGCACCGGCUAACUACGUGCCAGCAGCCGCGGUAAUACGUAGGGUGCAAGCGUUAUCCGGAAUUAUUGGGCGUAAAGGGCUCGUAGGCGGUUCGUCGCGUCCGGUGUGAAAGUCCAUCGCUUAACGGUGGAUCCGCGCCGGGUACGGGCGGGCUUGAGUGCGGUAGGGGAGACUGGAAUUCCCGGUGUAACGGUGGAAUGUGUAGAUAUCGGAAAAGAACACCA